rfam:Ailuropoda melanoleuca scaffold530_64, whole genome shotgun sequence.
GCCUGGCUGGCUCAGUUGGUAGAACAUGUGACUCUUGAUCUCAAGGCUGUGAGUUCAAGCCUCACAUUGGGUA